rnacentral:ncRNA from 2 species
GAAUUGAAUACUAUAUAAAGUGAAACACCAAAGAAAUAAAAAUUUUGUGUUUUUAAAAGGGAAUCAGGUGAGAAACCUGAACGAUCCGGUCACUGUAAGAUAGGAGUCCUUCUUUAUUAAUCCAUUGUAGCAAAGCUAUGAGAAGGAAAAGAGGAUGUUGAAAAUCAAGUCAGGAAACCUGCUUUAUGUAGAAGAACGAU